AUUGAACGCUGGCGGCGUGCUUUACACAUGCAAGUCGAACGGCAGCACGGGGGCAACCCUGGUGGCGAGUGGCGAACGGGUGAGUAACACAUCGGAACGUGCCCAGUUGUGGGGGAUAACCUAUCGAAAGGUAGGCUAAUACCGCAUGAGCUCGGCAAGAGGAAAGCGGGGGACUCAGCGAUGGGCCUCGCGCGACUGGAGCGGCCGAUGUCCGAUUAGCUAGUUGGGGGGUAAAGGCUUACCAAGGCGACGAUCGGUAGCUGGUCUGAGAGGAUGAUCAGCCACACUGGGACUGAGACACGGCCCAGACUCCUACGGGAGGCAGCAGUGGGGAAUUUUGGACAAUGGGGGCAACCCUGAUCCAGCCAUGCCGCGUGAGUGAAGAAGGCCU
rnacentral:rRNA from 1 species